rnacentral:rRNA from 1 species
UGGCUCAGGAUGAACGCUAGCGACAGGCCUAACACAUGCAAGUCGAGGGGCAGCACAAGGAGCAAUCUGAGGUGGCGACCGGCGCACGGGUGAGUAACACGUAUGCAACCUGCCUGUAAGCGGGGAAUAACCCGUUGAAAAGACGGACUAAUACCGCAUAAUACUAAAUUACUGCAUGGUAAUUUAUUUAAACAUUUAUGGCUUACAGAUGGGCAUGCGCAUGAUUAGCUAGUUGGAGAGGUAACGGCUCCCCAAGGCAACGAUCAUUAGGGGUUCUGAGAGGAAGGUCCCCCACACUGGUACUGAGACACGGACCAGACUCCUACGGGAGGCAGCAGUGAGGAAUAUUGGUCAAUGGACGAGAGUCUGAACCAGCCAAGUCGCGUGCAGGAAGAAUUGUCCUAUGGAUUGUAAACUGCUUUUGCAGGGGAAUAAAGUGCAUCACGUGUGGUGUUUUGUAUGUACUCUGCGAAUAAGGAUCGGCUAACUCCGUGCCAGCAGCCGC